UACAGAGGGUGCAAGCGUUGUUCGGAAUCACUGGGCGUAAAGCGCGCGCAGGCGGAUGGUUGCGUCCGGAGUGAAAUUCGCCGCCUCAACGGCGAAGCUGCUUUGGAUACGGACGUCUAGGGACCGGUAGAGGCUGGUAGAAUUGCAGGUGUAGCGGUGGAAUGCGUAGAGAUCUGCAAGAAUACCCGUGGCGAAGGCGGCCAGCUGGGCCGGAUCCGACGCUGAGGCGCGAAAGCGUGGGGAGCAAACAGG
rnacentral:rRNA from 1 species